rnacentral:rRNA from 1 species
GAUGAACGCUGGCGGCGUGCCUAAUACAUGCAAGUCGAGCGAACGGACGAGAAGCUUGCUUCUCUGAUGUUAGCGGCGGACGGGUGAGUAACACGUGGAUAACCUACCUAUAAGACUGGGAUAACUUCGGGAAACCGGAGCUAAUACCGGAUAAUAUUUUGAACCGCAUGGUUCAAAAGUGAAAGACGGUCUUGCUGUCACUUAUAGAUGGAUCCGCGCUGCAUUAGCUAGUUGGUAAGGUAACGGCUUACCAAGGCAACGAUGCAUAGCCGACCUGAGAGGGUGAUCGGCCACACUGGAACUGAGACACGGUCCAGACUCCUACGGGAGGCAGCAGUAGGGAAUCUUCCGCAAUGGGCGAAAGCCUGACGGAGCAACGCCGCGCGAGUGAUGAAGGUCUUCGGAUCGUAAAACUCUGUUAUUAGGGAAGAACAUAUGUGUAAGUAACUGUGCACAUCUUGACGGUACCUAAUCAGAAAGCCACGGCUAACUACG